GACGAACGCUGGCGGCGUGCCUAAUACAUGCAAGUCGAGCGAACCAAUUGAAAGCCUAGCUUUCAUGAGGUUAGCGGCGGACGGGUGAGUAACACGUGGGUAACCUGCCCUAUAGACUGGGAUAACUCGCGGAAACGCGUGCUAAUACCGGAUAACACAUCAAAGUGCAUGCUUUGRUGUUGAAAGAUGGUUCUGCUAUCACUAUAGGAUGGGCCCGCGGCGCAUUAGCUUGUUGGUGGGGUAACGGCCUACCAAGGCGACGAUGCGUAGCCGACCUGAGAGGGUGAUCGGCCACACUGGGACUGAGACACGGCCCAGACUCCUACGGGAGGCAGCAGUAGGGAAUCUUCC
rnacentral:rRNA from 1 species